rnacentral:rRNA from 1 species
GGGUCAGUAGGUUGGUCAUGCCACUGGUAUGUACUGGUCUCACUGAUUCCUCCUUCCUGAUGAGCCGUAAUGCCAUUAAUUUGGUGUUGCGGGGAAUUUGGACUGUUACUUUGAAAAAAUUAGAGUGUUUAAAGCAAGCUAACGCUUGAAUACAUUAGCAUGGAAUAAUGAAAUAGGACGUUCGAUCCUAUUUUGUUGGUUUCUAGGGCUUUUGUA